rnacentral:rRNA from 1 species
UACAGAGACUGCAAGCGUUGUUCGGAUUCAUUGGGCGUAAAGGGUGCGCAGGCGGCGGGGCAAGUCGGAUGUGAAAUCUCGAGGCUUAACCUCGAUGGGUCAUUCGAAACUGCCUUGCUUGAGGACUGGAGAGGAGACUGGAAUGGCUGGUGUAGCGGUGAAAUGCGUAGAGAUCAGCCAGAACACCGGUGGCGAAGGCGGGUCUCUGGACAGUUCCUGACGCUCAGGCACGAAAGCCAGGGGAGCAAACGGG